GCGAGAGGGAGUGGGGGAGGGGCGGCCGUUGGAACCAGAAAGAGGAGCGGGAAGGACACCCCCGCCCCCCCCCGUUGCCCCAGCAAGACGUUCGUUAAAGCGCUGAUGCGGCGGGAACGUAAUAAGGGAAGACAGUGUCGAGAGGGAAGCCCUUCAGAGUUAUCUCGUAGCCGUUCCCAGGCGUCAGCAUAGGGCGCGGCGGCGCCAUCUUCCCUCAGGCAUGUAUAUAUUUGGCGGCGUAUCAGCGUGUUGGCCUGAGGCAGGCAGGCUUCAAAUCACUCCACACUCCAGACACACACCCCACAAUCCCUGCACACACACACAAAGUGUGUACUGCCGAUCUAGGCUCCGAGUAUAAAUUCAGUAAAUAAAAACCAUAAGAACAUAGCAACCCAGAACAUUGAAUUGGGCUUAUUUGUAAGAGGACGAGGAAAGGAAAACCAGCAAACCAAGUUUAGGUAUCAAAGACAUAGCUGCGUUGCAACAUAUUACUACGUAGUUCGUUUAUACAUUAUGUCCCUUUCUCCUCCAAGGUUCAAAGAUCACAAUGUUUCACCACGUAACUUGUAACUUGGCAACUUUCCAAGCACAAUGUACCACAAAGCAACUUCCUAAUAUGAACAGCAGCAAUGUCAAUGUGAGAUUGGCCCUGUGCUGGUGGUUGUUUUAAUGAACAGUUAAACUUCAUGGCUACUGAAACACACGGAGCAGGAGGUCAAGUUUCUGCUCGGAAAUACGUGUUGAAUUAACAGCGCAAAUCGUGACAUCUCAAAGGCUACCGAAUUUAUUGUGGCAUAUACUUUCGUGAACGAAGGUCUACUCUAUCCGAUAAAGUUUCCCAGUUCCUGAGGAAGAGGGCAGUGAGCAGGGGAGAUGUGUGUCUCAGAUGUUUUUGGGGUGCCAGUGGAAGUCCUCAAUCACACCAUUGCACCCCCAGUCCCCGUUUUGGUAACCCUCUUGGGAAGACCAUAUAUUUGUCCCAUUUUGAGAUAUGAAACUAAUACUGAGGAUGACGUGACUUGGAUAUCACCUUUAUUGUGAGCUUUUUAUUUAUUUAUUGUGGGAACACACAGGACUGUAAAGUGAGAUAAAAGUACGAUUCUCAAAAAUGGAAUAUUAAUGUCCCUAGCCAAGGCCAAAUAUUCUGGAAAUAUUUACUAUCAAGUAUAAAUGGUAUGGAAUCCACUUCACAUACCAUCAUAAACAGACAUACUUGGAUUCCAAGGUUGAUGAAUCAAAAAUAAAAGGCUACUUUACAGCUAAUACAUGCAGCAAUCUCUAGAUUUCAAUGUUAUAUGGAAGUUUUAUCUAUCUGUCAGUCUUGUGAACUGUCCUGAGAUAUUGUGAUGAAGGGUGGAAUAUAAAUCAAGCAAGCAAGCAAGCAAGCAAACAAACAGAAAGUCAUAUAGCGGACAAAUAAGUCUUAUACUUUUAACUCUAUAAAAAUCAUACAUAAGUAACCCAUGUGGUACAGUUUGCAACUUUUCACUACCACACCAAAAUACACAAUAUUGGGAAUGCUAUUAACAUUGCAACCUUAACCGCUAUAAUGAAGAAAAUAUUGAGAUAGAUUGCAACGUAUUGUAUCCCAAAGGAUACAAGUAAAUGUUUUCCAGGAAAUUCUGCUAGUCCCUACUGUAAGUACCUUACAGGAAUACAUAUUUAAAUCAGUUGCCUUCUGCAGAAAUAUAUCGAGCUUCUAAGCGAUCAUGAUGGCAGAAAUUAUAGACAUUUCACUGUGUCUCUCUCACCCCCAAUGUGAGCCCUCUUUUGUCCAGGGAGAAUCUUUCCUGAGACAGUACUGAUAUGUUUGCUGAGGUUUCCACAUCUUUCUGCAACACCCCCAACCUUCACGGAAGCUUUUUUUCAGUAGUAAAAAAUGUAGUUCUUCCUCGAAAAAAGUUUCCUUGCCGAUUCUGAGUCAGCAUACUUAGGAUUAGGGUUUAUAGGUACACUUAGGGAGGGUCCCUUGUGUUAAUUUUCUUAUGCAAAAAUAACAAAGAAUGUACCAACAGGGAACCGUUCUUGAUUAACAAACUGCCAGAGACUGGGAACAUGCAUUGUAUGAUCAAAAAGCUAAGGUUGGAGAAUAAAACUUGCACUAAGAACAACUAGCUGCAAUUAGAUCUAAAUGUCUUCACCUGACACAUACAAAAACAUCAAAGUGAUGCCAGGCAAGCCUUUCUGGGAGUGGAAGGUGCAGGAUUUAUUUCCCCACAUCCAUCUCUCUGAAUGAGGGAAAGAGUUGAGUGGUGGAGAACAGAGGGCAUAAUUACGCAGGAGAGACUGCUAAAUCUUAGUGAAAGGAGAGGUACUAGGUGGUGUGUCAUCUGGUAUGGAUGAGGAAAGACUGCAGCGUUAUCGGCUGCCCUGGGUGGAAUCUACACAUAAAAAACACUCUGCAAAUGAAACAUUUUGAAAAAUAUAUUGAAUUUCCCAUAGCUCACCACAAAAAAUGUAGUUCUUCCUCGAAAAAAGUUUCCUUGCCGAUUCUGAGUCAGCAUACUUAGGAUUAGGGUUUAUAGGUACACUUAGGGAGGGUCCCUUGUGUUAAUUUUCUUAUGCAAAAAUAACAAAGAAUGUACCAACAGGGAACCGUUCUUGAUUAACAAACUGCCAGGAACUGGGAACAUGCAUUGUAUGAGCUGGAAGGUUUCAGAAAGUUUUCAGUUCCUUUGAGGAUCGGAGGCAACUAUCUUGCCUCGGGUGUAGGGUGGAGCGGCAGGCUAUUUGGAUGCCGCAAGUCCCUGAAAGGCAGAGGAAUAUGGCCACGUGAAAGUUGUGGGGAUAGAAAGACAGAAAGAGAAAUAGUUGAAGUGACAGACAAAGGAAGCACCAGCAACGUUUGAAGCAAGCCUAGGAAACGGAAAGCUCCCUUUCACUCAGAAUGCAACAUUAUCGAUAAAAGUCAAAGUCAAAAACAUGCAAAAUGCAAUUACAGUUAAGCUAAAACCACCGAUUAAAAGACAAUGCAACUUUUUGCAGGUAAAGUAAAGGAAACAAAGUUUAUAGCAGGCGCCGAAAAGGGUGCAGUGAAGGGAGCUUCUUCAUCUCUAAAGGCAGGGGGUUUCAGAGUGUACUUGCUGCAUGUAGGCUUCUUGGGCAAAGCCUUUCAACAUGCCUAAGUCUUGGCGCAUCUCUGUAUGCAAAAUGAAAGCUUCAUAAUAAUAUUUUUUUAAACUAAACCACAGUUCUGUCUGGCUCUCUCGAUCCCCAACCCAUCCUCUCAAUUCCCUUCUCUUCAACUGUGCGCACUAAUCUCCAAGCCUAUGGGGCUAUUUUCUAGUUUUGCUAAGG